rnacentral:misc_RNA from 1 species
GAUGAAGAACGCAGCGAAAUGCGAUAAGUAAUGUGAAUUGCAGAAUCCAGUGAGUCAUCGAAUCUUUGAACGCACAUUGCGCCCGCCAGCAAUCUGGCGGGCAUGCCUGUUCGAGCGUCAUUUCAACCCUCGACCUCCCUUUGGGGAAGUCGGCGUUGGGGACCGGCAGCACACCGCCGGCCCUGAAAUGGAGUGGCGGCCCGUCCGCGGCGACCUCUGCGUAGUAAACCAACUCGCACCGGAACCCCGACGUGGCCACGCCGUAAAACACCCAACUUCUGAACGUUGACCUCGAAUCAGGUAGGACUACCCGCUGAACUUAAGCAUAUCAAUAAGCGGAGGA